rnacentral:rRNA from 1 species
GUAUUAAGGCACUGCCUGCCCAGUGACAUACGUUCAACGGCCGCGGUACCCUGACCGUGCAAAGGUAGCAUAAUCACUUGUUCUUUAAAUAGGGACUCGCAUGAAUGGCAACACGAGGGUUUAACUGUCUCUUACUUUUAACCAGUGAAAUUGACCUAUCCGUGAAGAGGCGGAUAUGAAACAAUAAGACGAGAAGACCCUAUGGAGCUUUAAUUUACCAAUGCAACUAAAAAUCAUACAAAUCCACGGACUCUAAAACUUCUACACCUGCAUUGAAAAUUUUGGUUGGGGCGGCCUCGGAGCAUAAACAAACCUCCGAAUGAUUCAUGCUAAGACCUUACAAGCCAAAGCAAACUAACACCCACAAUUGACCCAAUAAUUUGAUCAACGGAACAAGUUACCCUAGGGAUAACAGCGCAAUUCUAUUCCAGAGUCCAUAUCAACAAUAGAGUUUACGACCUCGAUGUUGGAUCAGGACAUCCUAAUGGUGCAGCAGCUAUCAAGGGUUCGUUUGUUCAACG